rnacentral:rRNA from 1 species
CGUACGCUUCUUUUUCCCCGGAGCUUGCUCCACCGGAAAAAGAAGAGUGGCGAACGGGUGAGUAACACGUGGGUAACCUGCCCAUCAGAAGGGGAUAACACUUGGAAACAGGUGCUAAUACCGUAUAACAAUCGAAACCGCAUGGUUUUGAUUUGAAAGGCGCUUUCGGGUGUCGCUGAUGGAUGGACCCGCGGUGCAUUAGCUAGUUGGUGAGGUAACGGCUCACCAAGGCCACGAUGCAUAGCCGACCUGAGAGGGUGAUCGGCCACAUUGGGACUGAGACACGGCCCAAACUCCUACGGGAGGCAGCAGUAGGGAAUCUUCGGCAAUGGACGAAAGUCUGACCGAGCAACGCCGCGUGAGUGAAGAAGGUUUUCGGAUCGUAAAACUCUGUUGUUAGAGAAGAACAAGGAUGAGAGUAACUGUUCAUCCCUUGACGGUAUCUAACCAGAAAGCCACGGCUAACUACGUGCCAGCAGCCGCGGUAAUACGUAGGUGGCAAGCGUUGUCCGGAUUUAUUGGGCGUAAAGCGAGCGCAGGCGGUUUCUUAAGUCUGAUGUGAAAGCCCCCGGCUCAACCGGGGAGGGUCAUUGGAAACUGGGAGACUUGAGUGCAGAAGAGGAGAGUGGAAUUCCAUGUGUAGCGGUGAAAUGCGUAGAUAUAUGGAGGAACACCAGUGGCGAAGGCGGCUCUCUGGUCUGUAACUGACGCUGAGGCUCGAAAGCGUGGGGAGCAAACAGGAUUAGAUACCCUGGUAGUCCACGCCGUAAACGAUGAGUGCUAAGUGUUGGAGGGUUUCCGCCCUUCAGUGCUGCAGCUAACGCAUUAAGCACUCCGCCUGGGGAGUACGACCGCAAGGUUGAAACUCAAAGGAAUUGACGGGGGCCCGCACAAGCGGUGGAGCAUGUGGUUUAAUUCGAAGCAACGCGAAGAACCUUACCAGGUCUUGACAUCCUUUGACCACUCUAGAGAUAGAGCUUCCCCUUCGGGGGCAAAGUGACAGGUGGUGCAUGGUUGUCGUCAGCUCGUGUCGUGAGAUGUUGGGUUAAGUCCCGCAACGAGCGCAACCCUUAUUGUUAGUUGCCAUCAUUCAGUUGGGCACUCUAGCAAGACUGCCGGUGACAAACCGGAGGAAGGUGGGGAUGACGUCAAAUCAUCAUGCCCCUUAUGACCUGGGCUACACACGUGCUACAAUGGGAAGUACAACGAGUCGCGAAGUCGCGAGGCUAAGCUAAUCUCUUAAAGCUUCUCUCAGUUCGGAUUGUAGGCUGCAACUCGCCUACAUGAAGCCGGAAUCGCUAGUAAUCGCGGAUCAGCACGCCGCGGUGAAUACGUUCCCGGGCCUUGUACACACCGCCCGUCACACCACGAGAGUUUGUAACACCCGAAGUCGGUGAGGUAACCUUUGAG